AGAGUUUGAUCCUGGCUCAGAAUCAACGCUGGCGGCGUGCCUAACACAUGCAAGUCGAGCGAGAAAGUGUAGCAAUACAUGAGUAAAGCGGCGCACGGGUGAGUAACACGUGGGUAAUCUGCCCUCGAGUGGGGAAUAACACCGGGAAACCGGUGCUAAUACCGCAUACGAUCACGAUGUCUUCGGAUUUUGUGAUGAAAGGAGCAAUUCGCUCUUGGNAGGAGCCCGCGGCUGAUUAGCUAGUUGGUGAGGUAAUGGCUCACCAAGGCAACGAUCAGUAGCCGGUCUGAGAGGACGGUCGGCCACACUGGAACUGAGACACGGUCCAGACUCCUACGGGAGGCACCAGUGGGGAAUUUUUCGCAAUGGGGGCAACCCUGNACGAAGCAACGCCGCGUGGAUGAUGAAGUAUCUCGGUACGUAAAAUCCUUUCGACGGGGAAGAAAACCGCAAGGUUUGACGGUACCCGUAGAAGAAGCCCCCGCUAACUCCGUGCCAGCAGCCGCGGUAAUACGGGGGGGGCAAGCGUUGUUCGGAAUUACUGGGCGUAAAGGGCGCGUAGGCUCUUCGCUAAGUUGAAUGUGAAAACUCUGGGCUUAACCCAGAGCCUGCAUUCAAUACUGGCGGGCUANAGUUCUGGAGGGGAUAGCGGAAUUCCUGGUGUAGCGGUGAAAUGCGUANAUAUCAGGAGGAACACCGGUGGCGAAGGCGGCUAUC
rnacentral:rRNA from 1 species